CGGUUCGUCUCCUUCGGGCUCAUCGUUUUCCUCGGGAUCCUCCAGCUCUGGCCGGCGACACACUUUCGACACCCCUACGAUCAUCACAGAAACUGGUUCCCCUACGAUCCUUUCUUUCUCUCUUUGACUAUAUGUUGAAAAAGGAGUUUUGGGUGGCCAAAACGGCAAGAUCAUGACUCCGAAUUGCCAGUAAUAAGUAAUCCACAAUGCUCUUCAGAAUCCAGGAAAAAUGAUCACUGAAUGUGCUAGACAGAUAAUGAUAUAGCACAAUGAGUUAACGGCGACAAGUAGAGUAACUACCACAUUCGCCUAGCCAUGAUAAAAUUUUAUAGUUACUGAUGUUCAAGGUUGUAAUUUUAGGAGAGAUUGGGGUGUCGGCACAUGAAUUUGGAUGGCUGGUGCUUAAGUCGUCCAUGCUCUAGUUUGUGAAUAGCAGACAAAUACAGAGAAGUGCCAAGCAGGAUGGAUUUUGGAGUGCUGAUUAUUGUUUUUUCAAAGUCUCGUUCCAUCUGAAUUGUUCAAAUAAGGCCAACUGAUCGGCUUCUGUAGUUGGGCAAGUUUGGGGCUUCUGGUAGAGAAAACGCCG